rnacentral:rRNA from 1 species
GUGAGGAAUAUUGGACAAUGGGUGAGAGCCUGAUCCAGCCAUCCCGCGUGAAGGACGACGGCCCUAUGGGUUGUAAACUUCUUUUGUAUAGGGAUAAACCUACUCUCGUGAGAGUAGCUGAAGGUACUAUACGAAUAAGCACCGGCUAACUCCGUGCCAGCAGCCGCGGUAAUACGGAGGGUGCAAGCGUUAUCCGGAUUUAUUGGGUUUAAAGGGUCCGUAGGCGGAUGUGUAAGUCAGUGGUGAAAUCUCACAGCUUAACUGUGAAACUGCCAUUGAUACUGCAUGUCUUGAGUGUUGUUGAAGUAGCUGGAAUAAGUAGUGUAGCGGUGAAAUGCAUAGAUAUUACUUAGAACACCAAUUGCGAAGGCAGGUUACUAAGCAACAACUGACGCUGAUGGACGAAAGCGUGGGGAGCGAACAGGAUUAGAAACCCGAGUAGUCC